GACGAACGCUGGCGGCGUGCUUAACACAUGCAAGUCGAACGGAAAGGCCCUGCAGUUGCGGGGUGCUCGAGUGGCGAACGGGUGAGUAACACGUGAGUAACCUGCCCUUGACUUUGGGAUAACUUCAGGUAACUGGGGCUAAUACCGGAUAGGAGCUCCUGCUGCAUGGCGGGGGUUGGAAAGUUUCGGCGGUUGGGGAUGGACUCGCGGCUUAUCAGCUUGUGGGUGGGGUAGUGGCUUACCAAGGCUUUGACGGGUAGCCGGCCUGAGAGGGUGACCGGCCACAAUGGGACUGAGGUACGGACCAGACUCCUACGGGAGGCAGCAGUGGGGAAUAUUGCACAAUGGGCGGAAGCGUGAUGCAGCGACGCCGCGUGCGGGAUGUCGGCCUUCGGGUUGUAAACCGCUUUCGCCUGUGACGAAGCGUGAGUGACGGUAAUGGGUGAAGAAGCACCGGCUAACUACGUG
rnacentral:rRNA from 1 species